GUGAGUGGCGAACUGGUGAGUAACACGUGGGAAACCUGCCCAGAAGCGGGGGAUAACACCUGGAAACAGAUGCUAAUACCGCAUAACAACUUGGACCGCAUGGUCCGAGCUUGAAAGAUGGCUUCGGCUAUCACUUUUGGAUGGUCCCGCGGCGUAUUAGCUAGAUGGUGGGGUAACGGCUCACCAUGGCAAUGAUACGUAGCCGACCUGAGAGGGUAAUCGGCCACAUUGGGACUGAGACACGGCCCAAACUCCUACGGGAGGCAGCAGUAGGGAAUCUUCCACAAUGGACGAAAGUCUGAUGGAGCAACGCCGCGUGAGUGAAGAAGGGUUUCGGCUCGUAAAACUCUGUUGUUAAAGAAGAACAUAUCUGAGAGUAACUGUUCAGGUAUUGACGGUAUUUAACCAGAAAGCCACGGCUAACUACGUGCCAGCAGCCGCGGUAAUACGUAGGUGGCAAGCGUUGUCCGGAUUUAUUGGGCGUAAAGCGAGCGCAGGCGGUUUUUUAAGUCUGAUGUGAAAGCCUUCGGCUCAACCGAAGAAGUGCAUCGGAAACUGGGAAACUUGAGUGCAGAAGAGGACAGUGGAACUCCAUGUGUAGCGGUGAAAUGCGUAGAUAUAUGGAAGAACACCAGUGGCGAAGGCGGCUGUCUGGUCUGUAACUGACGCUGAGGCUCGAAAGUAUGGGUAGCAAACAGGAUUAGAUACCCUGGUAGUCCAUACCGUAAACGAUGAAUGCUAAGUGUUGGAGGGUUUCCGCCCUUCAGUGCUGCAGCUAACGCAUUAAGCAUUCCGCCUGGGGAGUACGGCCGCAAGGCUGAAACUCAAAGGAAUUGACGGGGGGCCCGCACAAGCGGUGGGAGCAUGUGGGUUUAAUUCCAAAGCUACGCCAAAAAACCUUAACCAGGUCCUGGACAUACUAUUGCAAAU
rnacentral:rRNA from 2 species